CAACCCUCGCUCCCGGCUUCUGGCCGGGGGCGGCGUUGGGGAUCGGCCGCCCGUCACACCGGGAGGCCGGCCCCUAAAUUCAGUGGCGACCACGCUGUAGCCUCCCCUGCGUAGUAGUAACUCACCUCGCGGGCGGUAGGGCGGUGCGGUCCGCCGUUAAACCCCCCAAUCUUUCUCAAGG
rnacentral:misc_RNA from 1 species